CCUACGGGAGGCAGCAGUGAGGAAUAUUGGUCAAUGGACGAGAGUCUGAACCAGCCAAAUCGCGUGAAGGAAGACUGCCCUACGGGUUGUAAACUUCUUUUGUACAGGAAUAAAAGACAUUACGUGUAGUGUAUUGCAUGUACUGUACGAAUAAGCAUCGGCUAACUCCGUGCCAGCAGCCGCGGUAAUACGGAGGAUGCGAGCGUUAUCCGGAUUUAUUGGGUUUAAAGGGUGCGCAGGCGGGAUUUUAAGUCAGCGGUGAAAUUUUCAGGCUCAACCUGAACACUGCCGUUGAAACUGGGAUUCUUGAGUAUGGAUGAAGUAGGCGGAAUUCGUUGUGUAGCGGUGACAUGCUUAGAUAUAACGAGGAACUCCGAUUGCGUAGGCAGCUUACUAAGCCAUAACUGACGCUCAAGCACGAAAGCGUGGGGAUCAAACAGGAUUAGAUACCCUGGUAGUCCACGCCGU
rnacentral:rRNA from 1 species